UACGUAGGGUGCAAGCGUUGUCCGGAAUUAUUGGGCGUAAAGAGCUCGUAAGCGGUCUGUCGCGUCUGCUGUGAAAAUCCAGGGCUCAACCCUGGACCUGCAGUGGGUACGGGCAGACUAGAGUGCGGUAGGGGAGAUCGGAAUUCCUGGUGUAGCGGUGAAAUGCGCAGAUAUCAGGAGGAACACCGGUGGCGAAGGCGGAUCUCUGGGCCGUAACUGACGCUGAGGAGCGAAAGCAUGGGGAGCGAACAGG
rnacentral:rRNA from 1 species